rnacentral:rRNA from 1 species
CAGCAGCCGCGGGAAAACGUAGGUGGCAAGCGUUGUCCGGAAUUAUUGGGCGUAAAGGGCUCGCAGGCGGCUUCUUAAGUCUGAUGUGAAAGCCCCCGGCUCAGCCGGGGAGGGUCAUUGGAAACUGGGAAGCUUGAGUGCAGAAGAGGAGAGGGGAAUUCCACGUGUAACGGUGAAAUGCGUAGAGAUGUGGAGGAACACCAGUGGCGAAGGCGACUCUCUGGUCUGUAACUGGCGCUGAGGAGCGAAAGCGUGGGGAGCAAACAGGAUUAGAGACCCCCGUAGUCCCUGUCUCUUAUAC